CCCCGGAAGCGGCGGGGUCGCCAUGGGCAGAGCAGUGACAGUAGCCGCGUGCGCCCUCAAUCAGUGGGCCCUCGAUUUUGAGGGCAACCUGAAGAGGAUCGUCAGAAGUAUUGGCAUCGCAAAGAGCAGUGGAGCCCGCUACCGGCUCGGUCCGGAGCUGGAGAUCUGUGGUUAUGGGUGCUUGGAUCACUACUAUGAGUCUGACACACUCCUGCAUUCAUUUCAAGUUCUGGCAAAACUUUUGGAGUCUCCAGCUACCCAAGAUAUUAUCUGCGAUGUGGGAAUGCCUGUUCUGCACAGAAAUGUUCGCUACAAUUGUCGAGUGAUCUUUUUAAAUAAAAAAAUUCUUCUGAUUAGACCAAAAAUAUCAUUGGCAAAUACAGGAAACUACAGGGAACUUCGAUGGUUUACCCCGUGGACCAAAACAAGGCAUGUAGAGGAGUAUUUUCUACCCAGGAUAAUUCAGGAAGUAACUGGUCAGGAAACUGUUCCUUUUGGGGAUGCAGUGCUAGCAACCAAAGAUACCUGCCUGGGAGCAGAAAUAUGUGAAGAACUCUGGGCACCAAACAGCCCUCAUAUUGAAAUGGGACUGGAUGGUGUGGAAAUCUUUGCUAACUCUUCAGGGAGUCACCAUGUGCUGCGGAAGGCUCACACCAGGGUGGAUUUGGUGAAUUCUGCCACAGCAAAGAAUGGUGGAAUAUAUAUUUUAGCUAACCAGAAAGGCUGUGACGGUGAUCGUCUGUAUUAUGAUGGCUGUGCCAUGAUUUCGAUGAAUGGAGAAACGGUUGCACAAGGAUCCCAGUUUUCACUCGAUGAUGUGGAGGUGCUGGUGGCCACUCUGGACUUGGAAGAUGUUCGAAGUUACAGAGCAGAGAUUUCUUCUCGUAACUUAGCGGCAAGUAAAGUAAAUCCUUAUCCCAGAGUAAAAGUGAAUUUUGCUCUGUCAAGUUCUGAUGAUAUAGCUGUACCUACUUGUAUGCCAAUCAAGUGGAGACAUCAUAGUCCUGAGGAGGAGAUCAGCCUUGGUCCUGCAUGCUGGCUGUGGGACUAUUUAAGGCGUAGCAAACAGGCGGGAUUCCUCCUACCUCUUAGUGGUGGAAUUGACAGCUCUGCUACAGCUUGCAUAGUAUAUUCUAUGUGUCACCAGGUUUGCCUGGCAGUCAAGAAUGGAAAUGCAGAUGUGCUGGCUGACGUGUGCAGGAUUGUGAAUGAUGAGACCUAUGUCCCUGAGGAUCCUCGAGAGUUUUGCAAGCGUGUCUUUACCACUUGCUAUAUGGCUAGUGAGAACUCGUCCCAGGAUACUUGCAACAGGGCAAAACUCCUGGCUGAGCAAAUAGGCAGCUACCACAUCAAUCUGAACAUAGAUGCGGCUGUGAAAGCUAUUGUGGGAAUUUUCAGCAUGGUGACGGGUCGAACUCCCCUGUUUUCUGUCUUUGGAGGGAGCAAAAGAGAAAACCUGGCUCUCCAGAAUGUUCAGGCUAGAAUAAGAAUGGUCCUUGCCUACCUGUUUGCCCAGCUGACACUAUGGACUCGUGGGAUGCCAGGGGGACUUCUGGUGCUAGGAUCAGCCAAUGUGGAUGAAAGUCUCCGAGGUUACCUGACAAAGUAUGAUUGCUCAAGUGCUGAUAUCAAUCCCAUUGGUGGAAUCAGCAAGACUGAUCUGAAGAACUUCAUUCAGUAUUGCAUUGAAAAUUUUCACCUCACAGCCCUCAGAAGUAUCAUGUCAGCUCCACCCACUGCAGAGUUAGAGCCCCUGGUGGAUGGACAAGUGGCUCAAACUGAUGAGGUGGAUAUGGGAACGACAUAUGCAGAGCUCUCCAUCUAUGGCAAAUUAAGAAAAAUUGCAAAGGCUGGACCAUACAGUAUGUUCUGUAAGCUGAUUAACAUGUGGAAGGAAAUUUGUGCUCCAAGAGAGGUGGCAUCAAAGGUUAAGCAUUUCUUCAGGAUGUAUUCACUUAACAGACAUAAAAUGACCACCCUCACUCCUUCCUACCAUGCUGAAAACUACAGUCCAGAUGACAACCGGUUUGACCUGAGGCCUUUCCUUUAUAACAGUACAUGGUCCUGGCAAUUUAGGUGUAUAGAUGAAGAGGUGCCGGAAUGUUCAUUGGGAUUUUAAUAGCUGGCAUAAUAUGAAGGACCAGUGACACAGCGCAGAAGAAAGCUGCCAUGCUUGCCCCUGAUGAUUACGUAUCCAAGCUAGAAAAAAAGGAAGAAAUUUCUCUAGUUGAAGAUACGGACUGAUUUGCUGUCUUGUUUAACUGUGGUAAUUAACUUGCUAAGCAGAAUAGCAGAAUGUUCAAAACAGGACUAAUAUUGUGAUGAUGGGCAGAGAUGACCCAAACAGUUGUUGACAUGACCAUAGUAAAUGGUAUUUGUAAUUUUUUUGGUUUUGUUUUGAUUGACUUCCCAUUUUAUUCCCAAUAUACUUACACUGUAGUUUGGCUAAGGAAUCAUUUAUUAAGGAUUUUCUUCAACUUCCUGAGUUAAUAGCCUUUAAUGAAAAAUAUUUGGGUAUCAACCAUAAAUAAAUGCAGGGUACUUACUGUUCCGUGAAAGUGAAUACAUACACAAGUAGUAAGCUUGGUUCUGACAACUUGGGAUAUGAUUUUUGAAAACAUUUAGCUGAAAGUAUAAAAUUUUAACAGCUCUGGCAUAUGCUGUAGAGGGGAAAAACUCAUUUUACUUUGCAAUAAACUUGUAAUUUUGUAAUGCUAA